rnacentral:lncRNA from 1 species
AAUUUGACAUGUUGUAGUUUGGAUAAGAUGGUGAAGGAUGUGGAAGAUAAAAAUAUAUUUUUAACUUGAAAAUUGUGUCUUGGUAGAUAUGCGGUAAUCUCGUGUGCUUUCUUUACAUGACUUGAGAAUCCUACUUUUUGUGUGAGUCGAUAGAGGGGUAUGUGUCGUUGACCCUUGUGAUGGAAAGUUCUUGAUGGUUCUUUAAAGGAUGAUUUUCUAUAAAUGAUUAUUUCUUUCG